AGUGAACGCUGGCGGCGUGCCUAAUACAUGCAAGUCGAACGAAGUGGCGCACGGGUGAGUAAUAUAUAGUUAAUCUGCCCUACACAGAGGAACAACAGUUGGAAACGACUGCUACUACUACCUAGUGUAGGAUGAGACUAUAUCGUAUCAGCAAGUUGGUAAGGUAAUGGCUUACCAAGGCUAUGACGCGUAACUGGUCUGAGAGGAUGAUCAGUCACAUUGGAACUGAGACACGGUCCGAACUCCUAGGGGAGGCAGCAGUAAGGAAUAUUACGCAAGGGGGGAAACCCUAACGCAGCAACGCGUCGUGAAGGAUGACACGUUUCGGGGCGUAAACUCCUUUUAUCAGGAAAGCGGUACCUGAUGAAUAAGCACCGGCUAACUCCGUGCCAGCAGCCGCGGUAAUAC
rnacentral:rRNA from 1 species